rnacentral:pre_miRNA from 1 species
UUCCUCCCGCCCCCCCCCCUUUUUAGCAGCUCCCCGAGGCAUGUGGAAUCUUAGUGCCUGACUAGGGAAAGGGGACGACAGAGGAUGAGA